rnacentral:rRNA from 1 species
GUUUCAGCAGCCGCGGUAAUACGGAGGGUGCAAGCGUUAUCCGGAUUUACUGGGUUUAAAGGGUGUGUAGGCGGGCUUUUAAGUCAGUGGUGAAAUCUCCGGGCUCAACCUGGAAACUGCCAUUGAUACUAUUAGUCUUGAAUUUUGUUGAGGUAGGCGGAAUAAGUCAUGUAGCGGUGAAAUGCAUAGAUAUGACUUAGAACACCAAUUGCGAAGGCAGCUUGCUAAACAAAUAUUGACGCUGAGGCACGAAAGCGUGGGGAUCAAACAGGAUUAGAAACCCCUGUAGUCC